rnacentral:rRNA from 1 species
GCAUAUCAAUAAGCGGAGGAAAAGAAACCAACAGGGAUUGCCUCAGUAACGGCGAGUGAAGCGGCAACAGCUCAAAUUUGAAAUCUGGCCUCACGGUCCGAGUUGUAAUUUGUAGAAGAUGUUUCGGGUGUGGCUCCGGUUUAAGUUCUUUGGAAUAUUACAUCAUAGAGGGUGAGAAUCCCGUAUGUGACCGGCAGCCUUCGCCUAUGUGAAACUCUUUCGACGAGUCGAGUUGUUUGGGAAU